AGCUCCAACGAAUUAAACGUGGUUAUGAAUGCUGAGUUCAAAAGCUUGCUUGACUACUGUUCAGCUAAUAAACUCACGACCAUCCCACAACAGGCCAACGCCCAUACAAAAGAAGAAAAUGCUACGUGUGUGGGGGACGGGGGCACACCGCCAGCAAGUGCCCCUCCCGCGAUGACAUCCGACUGAUGAGAGAUCCUACCACCUGUACUAAUUGCGGAGGGGUGGGGCAUGCCUCUUUGGCAUGUCCUACCCCUUCCAAUAGGGGUACCAAGGAAGAAAGGAGUAUGUAAACAUUCACUCUAAAUUAUUCGUUGAUUUUACUUCAUUACUUUUUUUUCAUUUUCAGUGGCAGCAUUCUUGAAUAAUAUUGACGAAGCAAAAAAAACUUUGAGAAGUAAUGUAUACAGAACGAGAGAGCGUGUUGUAUCACGUUUUAAAUAGAUCCGGAUCUCUUUAGCCCCGAUACAACACGCUCUCGAGUUCUGUAUACAGCUAAUCAAACUUUAUUUAAUACUUUACAUUUUCAUGUUUUUGAAAAAUUGAUUGAAUAUCUUGCGAUAAAAAUUAUCAGCGGUAACGUACGUCGUCUUCAUUAAAUAUUCAUCAAAUAUAACUGUUUGUAUGGUGCCAUUGUUUCACGAAAUGACUGAAUUAUCAAGGGAAUUUCCAUGCCCAAGCCAUCACCUGCAAACAUUGAAGCAAUUCAGAUUGUUAAAACGAAAUAAAGAACAAUAUAAA